rfam:Aedes albopictus isolate Foshan contig40139, whole genome shotgun sequence.
GGUUCCGUAGCUUGGAGUUAAAAAGCGCCUGUCUAGCGAAUUGGAAGUCUUGGGUUCGAUUCCCACCGGAGCAC